GGAAAUAAUCAGGCAAAUUCAUGAAUCCCUGUAAGCGAAGAGAGGAAGCGUGUCCCGGGGAAGGAGGGAGCAGUCUGACCCCCAGGACCCGGCGGUACCUGCGUGCUUUCCCUGCCCUUGAUCUUUCCCCAGAGGAGAGGGUUCAUCAUCACACUAACAGUCUGCGGUACGGCCGACUUGCCAGCAACUCUGGGUUGCCUUGGUUUUCAGGGAGUGUUCACAGGACCCGUGACGUGCCGGGACUCCAAGCAGCCGCUGUUCCGCGUACCUUCCUGGAUGACACGGAGUCACAGCAAAGCAGUCAGGCGGAGACAGCGAUCGCGGGGAGAGGAGCCGGCUGAGAAACCGGUUAGGCUGGGAGCUGUGUCCGGAACGGGGCAGGAAGGAGCCACGAUGGCGGCCGCGUCGGCCCCAUGUCCAGCGGGGGGCAGUGGUGUGCUGACAGUUGCGGGAGCCGUUCCUGCAGGAAGGGGCCCCCGGGCACCAGCCCGACUCCCAGCAUCGCCGCUUCGGGUGCCUUUGGUUACGUGUUGCUCAGUCAACACUUCCUUUCGGGAGACAGCCCGGGCGCCUAAGUGUUCGCCAGGAACUUCCCACCCAGAAUUGGUUAAGGAGGCUCCACACCCAACGUGGGGCUGGAUCGAACUCGCUACCCUGAGAUCCAGAGUAGCAUGCUCUUCUGACUGAGCGGGCCAGGUGCCCCUCGGCAGGCAGCAGUGACUGUGGCCGGGAGGGAAACACACAGAAGGAAGUUGUUCUCCAGGACCAAGGCUGAGCCGUCCCCGUCCGGCCCACUGUCCUGUCCCGUCUUGCCUGGCGCGUCUGGCUGGCUGGGGCCUGCUCGCCCGCACCCCACGCUGCCCCCCAGCACAGCCACGUCACUUUCCCGCCCCGCAGGUCCGUGCCCACCCAUGUCCUGGCUGAGCCCGGGACCAGAUGGCUUCACGCUCCGGAUCCCAGGGUCCUCUGUAGCUCCUUCAAGAAGAGCUUCGGCGGGGUCUGUGACAGAGGCCUUCAGGGAAGGCUUUAGUUUCUGGGCCGAGCUGACUCAUCAUUUCCCCCAGAGAAGUUUGCUCUCUGGGCGGUUUCCAGGCCCCCGUCCCUCCAGACCAGAUGGCUCAGAUGAGGUCUCCAUGUGCACCUUGCAGCCCUUUGUGGGCACAUGUUCUGGAUUUGUCCCAACCUGAGGAGCUGAUUCACCAGGACGUUCUGGGAAGUCCUCAGCACUUGAGUCCACCUUAGCCCGUGAGCAUAGAAGCUGCGAGUCACAUUUCCCGUUGAUUCUAGGCCCAGACACAGAAGUGUGUGGUCCUGGGGACUGAAGUCGGACCUCAGGCCCGGGCUCCAGCAGCUGGUACUGCCUUCAGAGGGGCUGGUCACUCAGACUUCAUCAGAGAAGGGACCGUUUUGGUUUUUUUUUUUUUUUUUUUUUAAGAUUUGUUGAUUUGGGAGAGCAAGAG